UACGGAGGGGGCUAGCGUUGUUCGGAAUUACUGGGCGUAAAGGGCGCGUAGGCGGCCUGUUAAGUCGAACGUGAAAUCCCCGGGCUCAACCCGGGAACUGCGUCCGAUACUGGCAGGCUUGAAUCCGGGAGAGGGAUGCGGAAUUCCAGGUGUAGCGGUGAAAUGCGUAGAUAUCUGGAGGAACACCGGUGGCGAAGGCGGCAUCCUGGACCGGCAUUGACGCUGAGGGCGCGAAAGCCAGGGGAGCAAAGCGGG
rnacentral:rRNA from 1 species